UACGUAGGGGGCAAGCGUUGUCCGGAUUUACUGGGCGUAAAGAGCGUGUAGGCGGCCACGCAGGUCCGUUGUGAAAACUGGAGGCUCAACCUCCAGCUGUCGACGGAAACCGUGUGGCUAGAGUCCGGAAGAGGAGAGUGGAAUUCAUGGUGUAGCAGUGAAAUGCGUAGAGAUCAUGAGGAAGACCAGUGGCGAAGGCGGGUCUCUGGACAGUUCCUGACACUGAGACACGAAGGCCAGGGGAGCAAACGGG
rnacentral:rRNA from 1 species